rnacentral:lncRNA from 1 species
GACACACAUAAAGUGGAAAGUUGAAGUCAUAAUAAUGGUGGGACUUUCUGAGGCUUUUAAGCAGUUGGCCACAAGAGACUAUCCGACCAACGCAGAGAGGCAGCAGUUAUGCAAUGGAAAAAGACGAGGGAAAGCUGGACCCAACAGGAGGACGGGGGGAAGGAAAGAGGAGAGCAUUAUUAAAUGAAUGGAAAACAGUACGUUGGGAAAACUAGCCACUUUAAAAUAAGUAACACAAAAGCAGAGCAGUGGGCCAGGCCUGUGGUCCACGGCGCUGCUCUGGGAAAAAGUGAUUCGGCGCCUGGAAAGAGAGGUUAUGUCAUCCGCCCCACGUGAUGAGGUGUUGUGCUCCGCUGCCAUGGCGACAGUGGAAGAUGAUCAGCAGAAUAGAUGUGAGACUGGCCUUCCAGAUCGUGCCCCCUGCCGCCAUGUUGCAGUUACAGCCGGGUUUGGCCAGGGGACGCCACAGGAGCACCAAAGCGCUGCAUCAGUGGGUCUGGAGUUGAACUUGCUCCGGACACAUGACCUAUCUGCAGGUUGUUUCUUACUUCAACUUUAUUUACUGUGUGUGAUUAGUACAUGUGACAGACAAGUGACUAGAUUCAGAUCUGCAUGUAGUCAGAAUAUUUUAGAGUGGGGACAUAUUUCUAAUUCAUGAGGAGCAAAACAUCUUCAAAGCAUCGUUGAAGAACAUGAGAAAUUAAACAUUUUUAAAUUAAAAGGAUUGCAUUUGCAGAGAUUAAAAAAAGUCAAUGCAUGAAUAGAAAGAAUAUAAAAUAUUCAAAUAAAAUAGAUUGCUUUUGUUGACA